rfam:Salmo salar isolate Sally breed double haploid chromosome ssa01, whole genome shotgun sequence.
UACAUUCACUACUGUAAGUCGCUCUGGAUAAAAGUGUCUGCUAAAUGACUAAAA